rnacentral:ncRNA from 1 species
AGCCAUAUGACUGACGGAAGUGGAGGAAACCACGGGGAGUAUGGCGGAAACAAGCCGACCGUCUGGGCUGUC